UCUGGCGUUCUUGUAUUCGUGCAAGUUAACAGCCUGAGGAUUUAUGUGAAUGAUUUAUGUCGAUAGUAAAGGAGUGAAAAUGCAUAAGAAGCCAUCAAUUUCAUAUACUUUGAAAUUUCAUAUCCCUUGCGUUUGCACUCGUUCGAAUUUAUCUUGUGUCUUAUUUAGAUUUGCCGCUGCUCAAUAUGUAACCUGUUAAACUCACACAAUCAACCAAAUAAACGAGUCCAAAUAUAACUCCUGGCGACACCCCCAUCACCUGAAGGCCACCUCAAUCUGCAGGAACAAACUCCGCCUCCAGAAGCCAGGAAACGAAAACGCUAAAUACGGCGCAUCAAAAAGCCGGCGGUGACCGUCAGUCCCCAACCUUCUGGUAUCGGGCAGUGAGAAUAUAGCGCUGUUCGUUUAAAAUAAGGAGUUUGCAUAUAAUCUGAGAAAAAGGAGGAUCCGUCGGGAUAUUACCUCCCAAGGACCCUGCUGUGGAGCCAUUUUUGUUCGACUUUUCUUGAGAGAUGAGUGAAGCAGAGAAGAGGGUUUGCAGAGGGAUUGAUGAAGAAGGAAAGGUCCACGUCUGCGAUCACCCUCACUCUCUGAUGAAGCAGUGGCUGCGGUAUUACUGGGAUCGCAGAUCCUCGAGACCGCACGGCGAGGUUGACCCUCAGCCUCGUUCCUGGCAGUGGCUGCUGUUGACCACCUUCGUCUUGCUAGCACUGACACUCAUGGUGCUGCUGCUUCUCUGGAACUAUAAGUGCAUCAUCAUUGAGAAGAUGUGCACUGGCCAGGAGAGCUCAAUGUUUCCUCUGUUUGGGGAUGGCAAGGAAAGUCACAUGACGCAGAAACCGGUCUAAGGAGGCGAGGCGGCCUUUGGUCCUGCCAUCCCUGCUCUGCAGCCUACAAUCUCACUGCGCUCGCUGCAGUGCUUGCUGUUGCUAUGUACAGUUCAGAUCCAGUUACUAGGUUUCUGCAGCUUGAUUUCUGUCAGCCUCACAGAUUUGAAAGUAACUGAUAUGUGGACAUUUCAUUAAUGCUGAAAAGUUGUCUAUCUUUAGCUCACUCGGAGAAGUCCCCAACAGAAAAUUUGUCUGAUAGAACCAAACCUUCAUAUGGUGACGCAUCUUAUCACUGUUGGUCAGCUGUCUCUUUUGACCGCUGAUGUAACACAGCAGGUGAGGAUUCUCUGAUACGUGGGAGUGACCCUGAGAAAGGCACCUUGGAUGUCUGGUGUUUAAGGUACAAUUGUGGCUCCGCCAUGGAGUGCCGUAAUAGUAAAUGUGCCCUUCAGUGCUUAGACAUCUGAAUUAGCUACUUUAACAUAUAUUGCUCUGCUUAGCAGCAGUAGACCAGUGGCCUCCGACCUUUUUUAUAAUGUGAGUCAGUUUUUACGAAAAGAAAAUAAUCUGGAGAUUUACGAAGUUGCAACGGUGUAUACUGACAAAUAAGGAGGGGUGUGCGCUCCCACUCAGUAGAGUUUUCUGAUUGGUGGAGGGCUUCCCUGAUUCCCCCCUAAGCAGGUUUGGUUGAUGGGAGGCAUGGGGGUGUCACUAUCAACUAGGAAUGCUUUAGAGAUCCACCAGUUGGCAACCAUUUUAGACAAAAGAUUUUGGUUAUCAACAAAUUUGGGGGGAAAAAAAUGUGUACAUACGUCAAGCUAGUGAUUAAUAGGGAGAUAUUUGAAUGCCAUGCAUAUCUCCUUAUAAAUAAUAAGGUCUUUGGUUUCUAUACUUUUGUAGACAGGCUUUUUAAACUUUGAAUAAGCUCAUUUAUACAUUCAGCUGUAUUAAAGAAUGUGAAUUAUAUUUAAAGAUGUGUGUAUAUUUGCUACUUUGUCUGACACUUUUAUCCAAAGGGACUCACAAUUGAGAGAAGGGUCACAAUUUAUAUCUGCUCCUUGGGACUUGAAUCCACGAUCUUUGCGUCAUUAGCGCAAUGCUCUAAAGUCACUAACUAACAUUGACCUCACAGAGUGUAUCAUGCACUGUCCGGAAGCCUGGCUGUGUUACUAACUAUUUAUGAAUGAAUGAUACUGCUGGAGUAGAGACUCUGGGACAGUAAUACCCUACAUGGGUUCAUAGAGUGUCUUAACAUUUUGCAAAGGGAGAAUGAAUACAUAUAAAUGUGACUAAAAAAAAAAAUUUAAAUGCAACAAAAGUGGCUCAAAUCUGAAUAAGUGUGGAAAAUGGUUAUUACUAACCCAAUCACCUUUUGUUGUUUUAUUUCGCAGUUUAAUUCAAACAGUUUGAUAAAAAAAAUGUAUAUAAAUGAAUGUAAACUGCAUCGGAAGUACAAUAUCUUUCCAAGAUUCUGCCACCAGAGGGAGAUAUAGCUCAUCAUGAUGAUAAGUCGCCCAAACUACGUUUUUAUCGCAGUCUGGUUUGCAGGUAAUUUUAUCACUUGCAUUAAUAUAUCAGUGUUUGAAGCCCCAGCUGUCAUACAAAGAGUUUAAUUGCAAGUUCUAUAGUUUGUUUAUUUUUUUCCUUUUAUCAAUGCAGCCAGUUAAUGCAAUGAGCUAUUUACAAUUACCUUUAUUAUAAAGGAAGUAAUAAAAAGAGAUGUAGUGCUGCUUUCAUUCUCUUUUACUGUUGCAAUAAAAACAAUGAUUAGGGUUGGUUUACAUAUGUUAAAUAAAGGCCUAAAUCUUGCCAA